CUUCUGCAGUUGCAGGGGAGACACCUUGAUCACGAAGGAGAUUUUCCCAGGGUGAGGCUCACCCAUUGCACUGCGGGUGUGCUGACCCCUGCGAUUUCCCCAAAUGCGGGAAACUCGACUGCAUAAUUUGUGGAUGCUGUCAUUGUUUUUUUAAAACAGC